rnacentral:rRNA from 1 species
AUGAACGCUAGCGGCAGGCUUAAUACAUGCAAGUCGAGGGGCAGCAGGGAUAGCAAUAUUCGCUGGCGACCGGCGCACGGGUGCGUAACACGUAUACAAUCUGCCUUUUACUGGGGGAUAGCCUUUCGAAAGAGAGAUUAAUACCCCAUAAUAGAUUGCUCGGCAUCGAGUGAUUUUGAAAGCUCCGGCGGUAAGAGAUGAGUAUGCGUCUGAUUAGCUAGUAGGUGAGGUAACGGCUCACCUAGGCCACGAUCAGUAGGGGAUCUGAGAGGACUAACCCCCACACGGAUACUGAGACACGGAUCCGACUCCUACGGGAGGCAGCAGUAAGGAAUAUUGGACAAUGCCCGCAAGCCUGAUCCAGCCAUGCCGCGUGCAGGAUGACGGUCCUAUGGAUUGUAAACUGCUUUUGUACAGGAAGAAACACUCCCUCGUGAGGGAGCUUGACGGUACUGUAAGAAUAAGGAUCGGCUAACUCCGUG